AGCCAAGUAUAAAAUGAUACCGAAAGAUUGAAUGAUGACUGCGGUCGCAGCUGUGCAGCGAGAAAGGAGCCAAGUGCAAAUCCCAUGCAACGAACCGUUUGGAAAUUAACGCUUGCGAAAGAUUAUGGACUCAUCGCUAUCCUAUUGUUUAAUUAUUGUGGUUCUACUGCAAUUCUGUUUUUAUGACAAGCCAAUUUGUUACUGUUGCUUUUAUACACGUCUACGUGGAAUUCUAUCCGUGGGAUUUACAUGUGCAUUGAACAGGCAUAUGAAGAAUGCAUUACAAAUAACGUGAAGUUAUUUCUCAGUUUGCCUAUAAUAAUUUUUAUUUUUUCACAAUAUUUUUUGCUAUAAAAACGAUACAAAGUCAUUACUAAAUAAUGCCAGACAUUAAUAAAGAAGUGAAAGUUUGUACUGCAAUUAUUAAAUAUUUUAAUUCGCUGCUUGGAGAUUUGUGCAACUUUCUGCAAAUCAUAGAAGUUUAAUUUACCGUGGAACUUUCUAUUAUCCUUGUUUCCUUGGAGAUAGCCAAAUCGAAGGGAAGGGGAAACUGGGAAAGAAGAGCGCAAGUGGGACAAGUAGCAGGAACGAGCGAAAGAGGAAGCCAGAAGCGAGGAAAGAGCAAGAGAGAAAGAAAAAAACCGUUACACCCCUCUUCCUCUGGUCUCCGUUACGUUACGCGGUUGGAAUUCUGACACUGCGUGACCAAGUGAUGCCAGGAUGAAUGACGAAGAAAAGGAAUAUUCUGGUGCGCGCAUGUCUUCCUGCAAAUCUUCACUUUCAUCAGCACGCGUCGCAAAGGGCACGGUUUUAGUGCCGCCUAGAUGUAUCACCGUUCUACAGGUACCGAACAAAAGAAGAAACACGAUUAUACCGUUGCGCCAAGAAAUCGUCGAGAACGAGACGACAUCCUCAUUCGACGACCCCGAUUCCUCGAUUUGCAUGAACGUCGAUUUGCAAUCGUAUUUAGGUCCAGUGUCCAAUUUGGAUCUCUCUUUUUCUGUUAUAUUAUUUUCAUCAACGUACAAUAAAUUUAGAAACGAAUUGCGUUCUCCAAUGUAUUCAACUGAGGACAAUAAUGCAAAGCGUGAUAAGCGCAAACUGGAGUAGAACAGAAACGAAAAACCACAAGUCACUCGAAUUUUCAGUAAUCCGAAAGUCACGAGCGGAUCUCACGCACACGAAUAUAUCAUAAAUCCCAUACACAAUCUUUAUUAUACGCUACAAAGAAUUAAAAAGACGAGCAAAUCUGCAAAAUGUUGCAUUAUCCAACACCUGUCCAGUUCACGGAAAUCGAAACUGAUC